UACGGGGGGGGCAAGCGUUGUUCGGAAUUACUGGGCGUAAAGGGCUCGUAGGCGGCCAACUAAGUCGGAUGUGAAAUCCCCAGGCUCAACCUGGGAACUGCAUCCGAUACUGGAUGGCUUGAAUCCGGGAGAGGGAUGCAGAAUUCCAGGUGUAGCGGUGAAAUGCGUAGAUAUCUGGAGGAAUACCGGUGGCGAAGGCGGCAUCCUGGACCGGCAUUGACGCUGAUGAGCGAAAGCUAGGGGAGCAAACGGG
rnacentral:rRNA from 1 species